rnacentral:rRNA from 1 species
UACGUAGGGGGCAAGCGUUGUCCGGAUUUAUUGGGCGUAAAGAGCGUGUAGGCGGCCAGGUAGGUCUGCUGUGAAAACUCGAGGCUUAACCUCGAGAUGUCAUCGGAAACCAUCUGGCUAGAGUCCGGAAGAGGAGAGUGGAAUUCCUGGUGUAGCGGUGAAAUGCGCAGAUAUCAGGAAGAACACCAAUUGCGAAGGCAGCUCGCUGGGACGUAACUGACGCUGAGACGCGAAAGCGUGGGGAGCAAACAGG